rnacentral:rRNA from 1 species
GGUAAGAUGGCCUUCCUUAAUUUAAGGUGUGAGGAAAUAAGGAAGCCGAUCUGAGGAGGAUAGGGGUAUAAUCUGUUUGAUCCUUUGAGAAAGGUGAAUAGCUUUCUUUAGGCUGAAACCACGGAACCGGUAUAUAGGAGACAUGGAUUAGAUACCCAUUUAUUCCCGGCGCAAACUUUGCUAUAAGGCGGCUGCUUGAGUACUACGAGCGAUGGCUUAAAACUCAAAGGAUUUGGCGGCUCGUUAAUUACCCAGGGGAAUAUGCGCCUUAAUCCGAUGAUCCGCGUAACAUCUUACUGUACCUUGAAGAAGAACAGCUGGUGUAUUGCCGUUGUCAGCUUGUUGUUCGAGCAGAGAGAAACAGGCUCAAUGGAGCUAGCAAUGUUUAUUGAAAGAAUCCAUGAAUUCAGGUCGAAAUACUGCCAAUGGUACAAGGGAGUGGGUAUUACAAUUCAGAGUUUGAAUUACGGAUCCUGUAAAUGAAAGUAUCAGGUGAAGGUGGACUUGGGAGUAAGGGGGGAUUAAUAUGCCUCCCUGAACGUAAAUCUAACUUGUGCACAAACCGCCCGUCGCUCUCGCCAGGGAGGGGAGAUAAGUUC